UACUCUAGAAUGUUUGUUGCCAAGCGACAGCUCAUAAUAGUUGGACACAUAGCUGUGUCUCAGAUUCUCAUCUAUAUCCUUUUCCAGGAAAACUCUUCUCAGGUGUCUCCUCCAUCACUUUUCACCCUUAUUAGCAUUAGGAGGGAAGCAGAGAAAUGGAGAAUGGGUUGCAAAGUGCUUCGCACAGCACUUCUCUGGAGCAGAGAGGGUACAGAAUACAGGGAGACAAGUUCUGGAGGCUGGGAAGUCCAAGAUCAAGAUGCUGGCAUCUUGCAGCAAGGGCCUUAUUGCUGCAUCAUCACAUGUCAAAGGUAAAUAUUUAUAGCUCAUGUCAAGAGGAGUGAACAAGGCAGCUUGAAAGAUCCCUUGUACUGCUUUCAGAACUCAAGGCAGUUUUAAAAGAGGUAAGUGGAAGAGAAAAGAGCCUCUUAACCAAUUAGCCAAGAGGCCACACAAUACUUUGGAAUUAAAAUUACCCAGACAUGUGUGAGGAUCCAAGUGGAGUCUCAUUUAUAUCAUCAAAGAGAUUCUACUUCUAUUGAAAUGAAUAAGAGGUUAACAGUUUCAAUGGCACAAUAAUAAAAUGAUUAAGGUUAUACA
rnacentral:lncRNA from 13 species